rnacentral:tRNA from 1 species
GGUUUAUACCAAUAGUAGAUUGCAAAUCUAUUUAAGCUUAAAGCAUAAGCCU